CGGAACGUGCGGUGUAGGGGUGAAAUCCAUUGAUAUUGCACGGAACACCAAAAGCGAAAGCAGUCUGCUGGUGCUCUACUGACGGUCAAUCACUAAAGCGUGGGGAUCAAAAAGGAUUAGAUACCCUUGUAGUCCACGCCCUAAACAAUACACACUAGCUAUUGGGAGCAUCGACCCUUCCAGUGGCGUAGCUAACGCGUUAAGUGUGCCGCCUGGGAAGUACGAGCGCAAGCUUAAAACUCAAAGAAAUAGGCGGGAAUUCGCACAAGCGGUGGAUCAUGCGGUUCAAUUCGACUCUAAGCGAGGAACCUCACCAAGGCUUGAAACCCAGCUGCAAGCUCCAGAAAUGGAGUCGCCUUCGAGGGUGCUGGACAGGUGCUGCACGGCUGUCGUCAGCUCGUCAUGUGAAUGGUAUCCUUAAGUGGAUUAACGAGCGCAACCCCCAUUGUCUGUUAUACGUGUCAGACGAAACUGCUUUCGUAAGAAAGAGGAAGGUGGGGAUGACGUCAAGUCAGCGUGGCCCUCUGAUGCCUUGGGCUACACACAUGUUACAAUGGUUGUUACAAUGAGUUGCCAACCCGCGAGGGGGAGCUAAUCUCAUCAAAGGCAACCUCAGUUCGGAUAGGAGGCUGAAACUUGCCUCCUUGAAGCUGGAAUCGCUAGUAAUCGCAGAUCAGAACGCUGCGGUGAAUACGUUCUCAAAUUUUGCACUCACUGCCCGUCAACUCAAGGGAGCCGGGAAUACCCGAAGACCCGUAUUAUAUAUGGGGACACGGUAGGCUCGGUAACAAGGAGUAAGUCGUACAGGUAUA
rnacentral:rRNA from 1 species